rnacentral:rRNA from 1 species
UGGGGAAUUUUGGACAAUGGGCGAAAGCCUGAUCCAGCAAUGCCGCGUGUGUGAAGAAGGCCUUCGGGUUGUAAAGCACUUUUGUCCGGAAAGAAAUCCUUGGCUCUAAUACAGUCGGGGGAUGACGGUACCGGAAGAAUAAGCACCGGCUAACUACGUGCCAGCAGCCGCGGUAAUACGUAGGGUGCAAGCGUUAAUCGGAAUUACUGGGCGUAAAGCGUGCGCAGGCGGUUUGCUAAGACCGAUGUGAAAUCCCCGGGCUCAACCUGGGAACUGCAUUGGUGACUGGCAGGCUAGAGUAUGGCAGAGGGGGGUAGAAUUCCACGUGUAGCAGUGAAAUGCGUAGAGAUGUGGAGGAAUACCGAUGGCGAAGGCAGCCCCCUGGGCCAAUACUGACGCUCAUGCACGAAAGCGUGGGGAGCAAACAGGAUUAGAUACCCUGGUAGUCCACGCCCUAAAACGAUGUCAACUAGUUGUUGGGGAUUCAUUUCCUUAGUAACGUAGCUAACGCGUGAAGUUGACCGCCUGGGGAGUACGGUCGCAAGAUUAAAACUUAAAGGAAUUGACGAGGUCAUAGCU